rnacentral:rRNA from 1 species
AACGAACGCUGGCGGCAGGCUUAACACAUGCAAGUCGAACGCAUCCUUCGGGGUGAGUGGCAGACGGGUGAGUAACGCGUGGGAACGUGCCCUUCAGUUCGGGAUAACCCAGGGAAACUUGGGCUAAUACCGGAUACGUGCUAGAGCAGAAAGAUUUAUCGGUGAAGGAUCGGCCCACGUCUGAUUAGCUAGUUGGUGGGGUAAUGGCCCACCAAGGCUACGAUCAGUAGCUGGUCUGAGAGGAUGACCAGCCACAUUGGGACUGAGACACGGCCAAAACUCCUGCGGGAGGCAGCAGUGGGGAAUAUUGGACAAUGGGCGCAAGCCUGAUCCAGCGAUGCCGCGUGAGUGAUGAAGGCCCUAGGGUUGUAAAGCUCUAUCGUCCGGGACGAUAAUGACGGUACCGGAAUAAGAAGCCCCGGCUAACUUCGUGCCAGCCGCCGCAGUAA